UUUGACCCAUAUUGUCUACGUGCCCCACA
rnacentral:piRNA from 1 species